AGGCACUUAGAUUAAGGUCGAAAUAGCUAAAAUUGGAGAGUCAAUUGGAGAACACAGAGGCUGAAAUUUCUUCUUUCAAAAAGAAAAUGUCUAGCCUAGAGAAAGAGCGUUAGGAUUUUCUAUCAACCAUUGAAGCACUUAAAGAAGGAUAAUUUGGAAACCCUGUUGCAAGAGAAGGACAUUUAG